GGCACUGCAACAUGCACCUGACCUCCCUGCUACGGUGAAGCUCCUCUUUCCAGGAAAUGUACGUGGUGGACUGUGUGUACUGCUGCUCUAAGCUGCCAGCCGGCUGAACAUACAACUGGCAUCUACAGGCAGAAGGCAUGGAAGAGAACCUCAGACUCUUCACGAUCUCUCUAUAAGAUAACAAUUUCCCUGUCUUCGCAAUGGUAACAUCACCGUGAAUACUUUACUUCUGAGUAUGGCCGCUUUUCUCUCCUAACUGAAUGGUCAUCCUUUUGGAAACAUAAUACUUAUUAUUUCUGGCAUAAUCAAGCUUUAUAAGGCUCUUAUUAAAGUCUAUCUUACGUUUAGAAGAAA